AAAGGACAGCGGCGGACGGGUGAGUAACGCGUAGGCAACCUGCCCCUGACAGAGGGAUAGCCAUUGGAAACGAUGAUUAAAACCUCAUAAUGCCGAAGGAACACAUGUUCCAUCGGCCAAAGAUUUAUCGGUCAGGGAUGGGCCUGCGUCUGAUUAACUAGUUGGUGAGGUAACGGCCCACCAAGGUGACGAUCAGUAGCCGACCUGAGAGGGUGAUCGGCCACAUUGGAACUGAGACACGGUCCAAACUUCUACGGAAGGCAGCAGUAGGGAAUCUUGCACAAUGGGCGAAAGCCUGAUGCAGCAACGCCGCGUGAAGGAUGAAGGCCUUCGGGUUGUAAACUUCUGUUCUUAGGGAAGAAGAAAGUGACGGUACCUAAGGAGAAAGCCCCGGCUAACUACGUGCCAGCAGCCGCGGUAAUACGUAGGGGGCAAGCGUUAUCCGGAAUUAUUGGGCGUAAAGAGUGCGUAGGUGGUUAUCUAAGCGUAAGGUUUAAGCGUGCAGCUCAACUGCAUCUCGCCUUGCGAACUGGACUACUUGAGUGCAGGAGGGGAAAGCGGAAUUCCUAGUGUAGCGGUGAAAUGCGUAGAUAUUAGGAGGAACACCAGCGGCGAAGGCGGCUUUCUGGACUGUAACUGACACUGAGGCACGAAAGCGUGGGGAGCAAACAGGAUUAGAUACCCUGGUAGUCCACGCCGUAAACGAUGAGCACUAGAUGUUGGUCCCGAAGGGAUCGGUGUCGCAGUUAACGCAAUAAGUGCUCCGCCUGGGGGAGUACG
rnacentral:rRNA from 1 species